UCUGCCCCAGCUCCAGACCAGGCUGUCACCGCUGCAAGAUCCCAGCCCUGCGCAUGCUGCUGGUGCUGGUGGGGCAGGUGUCCAUGGAAGCCAUGGCCCCGUGUUGUCACUGGGGUCUCCACAGAAAGUGGCUGCAGCGAUGCAGGCAAGGGCAGCUGGGAAAAGGAGUCUGCUGCAGGCCCAGUCUGGCCCACGAGCCAGACUUUGCCUGGCCCUUGCUUACGUGCAUCAAGAAAGUAGACGCACCCCGCAAGGCAGAGCCUAAUCUAUUUGUUCCCAUUUUAAUUGCAUCUCAUUAGUCCCUGAUUAUGGGGAAGGAGGUAGGCAUUUGCAGUUGUAUCUCCUUUGGGAUUUGCUUGUAGGUGUUGCUCUGGCAAGAAGUGUAGCUAUCAUAGACUACUAUAAUACAUCGUAGGAACCUCAUUUGCAAGUAGUUGUGUUCAUUCCUUGAAGUUGAUCGUCAGUCUGUCAGACCAUCUGGUUGUCCUAUCGCUUCUGCCUGUCUGUCACCCAUCUGUCAUCAUUCAUCCAUUGAUCUGCUUGACUAAUCUAUGGCAGUUACAAACAUUCAUCUUGGUGGCAGGCUAGAUCAAGCCAGUGUGGGAAGAGUGAAUUCCAGCUAAGUGAUAGUAGGCAAGUAGCUCUCUGCUACAUCAACAAUAACUGACAUGCCGGAGUAUGAAAAAUAUAGAGGCGACAUCUACCAUUAUGCACCAGCACCUUUUAUUAAGUUAGUCCCUGAACUCGCAAAUGAUCUCCCUGGCGCACAGAAAUAUGCGGUGGUGUAAGACUUAAGGCAAAAUUGUCAAGCUGUCUGACCUGAAAAACAAGAUCUCUUCCUUAGAAAGGUGGGGGAAAGCAGGUUGUUUCAACUAGAUUGCUUGUCCUCCCUCUCAUGUUGUGUAAUCUUUGUUUAUUUUGAGGAAGAAUUUAAUAACUCCACAGACUAUGUUAGCUCUGUCACCCUGGCUCAACUUUGGGUGCGACUGUUUUGUCUGUCUAUAAUUCUUUUCAUGCACGUGGCUACAGUACUCUUAUUUGUCUCCUGGCUUAAGUUGCAGUACCCCUAUGUGUCUCCUGGCAUAAGUUGUUGUACAGUAUUGCUGCGUGCUGCAGUUCAGCUGCUGUGUAAUCCACUCCAGAGGUGACUGCAUUUCCACAGCUAUAAACAUGUAGUGGUGGCCUGCAAGCAUCUUCUGCCUCCUCCCUAUUCACCCAAUCUGGUCUUGCACCCAGCACAGGCCUCCAGACUGAGCCUAAUACACCAUUCACUUAACAGGUCCCUUCACCUAACGUCACUGCCCAUCACGUAAAACCUGAGUCAAAUGCAGCUCUUCCUUCUGUUGGUGAAAAUGCACGAUAAUUUCCAGUUCUAAUAUAGCUUUACUCAUCCAGCUCUGUGGCCAGUGUUACGCUGAUGUAAAUCCAUGGUAACGCCACUGAUUUCAGUGAAUUCCCUGCAGAUUUAUACCCACACAAAUGGUUGUGGAAACUGUCCUUAGAUGUCCAGAUAGAGAGACUGACCUGAGGCCUGCAGCAUUGUUGGAGCUGAGAACAUUCAUUUAUACCGUUAAUGAAUUUAUCCCAGUAGUGCUGAAAUGUUCAGUGACUCUCUGCAUCUCUGUUACUGCCGGGAAAGGCCUGUAAUCUUGUAGGUAUCAUUUCUUUAUUCUCCUUCCUCCUCCUCUCACCAAACCCCAAUUGAUCCCCACAUCUAGUGAGGGUCUGCUCUGAGGUAGUGAGUUAGAGCCAGUAUAUAUACUGACAACUCUGUGUUGUAAAUCUCUGGGACCACUGUCCUAUUUUUUCCUCUUCAUGAACGACAGGGAAGUGACUAGUUUUAACAGGAACCUUCACAUCUCUUUCCCUGCCUCCAAGCUCUCUGUGUUAAAAUGUACAUAUUUUCCAGUCACAGGGAGAAAUUCUCGGUAUUGCAUGACAUUUUGCGGCUAGAUCCAGCCAUGAUGAGGACAAUGUCUCCCACCCUUCCGCGUUUCAUAGAAAUCAGGAUAUAAAAAUGACCGCACAGAUAAUCAUUGUAUUCACCUGGGGAAACCUGGCAGACCAAAAGCAUGUAGCCUAUGUGGUUUGGGUACCUCCAGUCUUGAGCAGCAGCUUUGGGGAGGGGGUUGGGUGCCUAAAUCCACAUCAGGCACUGAAGUCCUUUUGUGGAUCCAGCCCUUGAGUGCUGGGGUGUGUUGUUUCCCAUCUGCUCAAUGAGUAGAACAGCCUGCCCCACUCCCACAUGGGACUGCUGCCAGGAUAAAUGCAUAAAGAGUGCAUGGAGUUCACACACUAUGGCAAUCAGCACCGCGGAUGCGGUUGGUGCGCUCACUCCAGAAGUGCAUUCAUACAUAAACAUGGUGCAGCAGAAUCUCUUGUUCUCAGAAAUCCUCCAGGCCUUCUGUUUUACAAGCCAUUAAAUAUCUCCCCUUUUGCCCCCAUGAGGUGUGAAGUCCAGGAUUAAUCUAUAUGCUCCGUUUCCCUUCAGUCAUAUUAAUCUCUUGGGGAAUUCGAAUGUCUUUCUGUUGGCACCAUCAGAAACAAUAUUGAGCGUCAGCUCUGAUAAAGGUUUAACUUUGCCUUUCUCCCUUCAGUUUCUACAAGCCUGUUGCUUUUAUGUUCUCCCCCACUGGCAGGGCAAAGGCCCUAGGGGAGGAAAUCCCAGUGAUAACUAUGGGGGCCUUUCCCAGGAAAGAGAUCUUUCCUGAUCUGUUAACAAGUGCUGUUUUUUGACCAAAUGAAUGAUAAGAACAAUGCGAAGUAUCAAGAAGACAAUCUCAUGGAUUCCUGACAAGUGGUGCGGUCUCAAGCAACAGAGACAGAUACAGCCAGUUGGCAGUGUUAUGCAGCUUACAGGUUGGUGGGACUUCUCAAUACGCAUCCAUCCCAAAGCACAUAUCCUGCCACUGGGACCACUGGACGAUCUCCAUUUAUUGGUAAUACCAAGCUUUAAGACGCCUACCAUUGGGCAGGUCUGAUUCUUACACCCCUUACACAGAUACACAUAUACUCCCCUUUGUUGCAAUCUAAUUAGAAUAUGACAAGAACCAAGUGCCAAUGUUGCCCACCCCCUUCUAUGAGAGGACAUUUAUCACACAGGACAUGCCACCCUCCUGCCACCCAACACUCAGCUGCAGAAGAAGGGCAUGCUGCCACUUUUGUUUGCCAUGGGAGAAAAUUUCCCCUGAUAUUCUUCUCAAGCUGCUUUGACCUGAAUAUGGGACACAAUUUGAGACCAGGACACACUUGGUAGGCUUGUGUGGGGGAAGGAUAGUACAGCUAUUGAUGUCCCUCCCUGUGAUUUUCAAAAAUAAAGCUAUUUAUAGUCCAUGAAUCUACAUGGCUUUAACCUGUAAUAAAAGAGCUGGGCAGUAGUGAUUUACCUAGUCUAAAACUAACGCAUUUAAUUCAUUUACUUUGAAAAGGGGCUUUCCUGUGUUACUUUGGAUGAGGUAUAAUUAAAACAUCAGACGCCUGGUCCUUUGUAAUCUUCACACAGCAAUGUCUGCUGGAGACAAAACAAAUUCAUUCAUUGGAAUUCAUUCUUGCAACUGAUGUUCCAGCCUGUGCUAGCUUUCUCUCUAAUUAAUUUGGAAAAGGGCAGCUGGAGGCUGCCAGCCGAGAUGCUCUGGUUUAUCAUCGUUAGCGUGUUUAGUUUUUGAUCACUUCCAGUGCAGCUAGGAUGGGGGUUUUGGUGAUUAAAUGAAAAUAAGCAUUAUAUGUUAAAAACAAUCCACACAUAGUGAUUCUUUGAUGUCUGCCAUUAGGGAAGUUUGGGGAAGUCCUGAUUUUGCCUGCGAAUGUUGGAACUCAGGCUGGACUACAAAGGCAUAAGUGGCCCAGUACCGCACUGUGGGGCAGCAGCAGCGCACGGUGCAGGAGCGAUCGGCAGAGGUUUCAGUGCUGUGUGGAGACUUCAUUUUUCCAGUGGUCACUUCCAUUUUUUUGCCACCAGCGCAUGUUGAGCAGCAAAGAAAAGGAGGUGACAUCUCAAUGUGCGGCUGCUGCUGCUCUGUUCUACCUGCAUCCAGCGCUACUGCAGGAAAGGUGCAGGGUCUGUGUGUAUGGGAGGAGGGAGAAUAGGAUGAGGUACCCUCCUGUCUCUAUUAUGGCCCCCCCACUCCUUAAUGCCUCAGGCCCAUGCCAUCCUUGCUCACUCAUCAUUACGUUACUGCCAGACUGCAUGGAUUUAAUCAACAUAGCAUGUCAUACUUGCAUGAAACCAACAUGUGAAGCUGUAGGGUUUUUUUAAGGGAAAGGCCAAGAGUCAAUUGAUGAAUGGCCAUUUGAGUGUCUGGUAUCUUCAGCAUGUCUCAGUUCCUGUAUUUCUGCUUUGAUAAUGCAGGGGGAACUCAAGCACCUGGCUUAUCUGGUUUCGGGCACCUCGUGAGAAAAAACAGUUUGGAAAGAGCAGGUUGCUCUGCUCGGUGUGAGCAUUGCAUUAGUUCCAUGAUUUUUUUUGACAGCUGAGCUGUGACCAUCACAGCAGGAUGGUGAUUUAGCACAAAGUCCCGUGAUCUGCCCAAGCUCUGCAUAGCUGGGGAAAGUCUAGGUGCCCACUUUAUAGCUUGGUUGAAGGGAGAAUGGCUUUUAUGUCACAACUUGAACUCUUGCUUCUGGAUUUAUAAACCCACAUCCCUCCACUUAGAAGAGAGCUACGUAAAUCUAUACAAUGACCUGGAAAUGAGAGCCUUCCAAAGAAGCAAUUUCACAGUGACUUGUUGGAGGGCAAGGCUAUACCUCCAUGUUGUAUGUAUAUGUGUGUGUGUUUAUAAAAAUAAAAUAUGUGUGUGUGUGUGUGA